rnacentral:rRNA from 1 species
AACUUUUAACGGUGGAUCUCUUGGCUCACGCAUCGAUGAAGAACGCAGCCAGCUGCGAUAAGUAGUGUGAAUUGCAGAAUUCAGUGAAUCAUCGAAUCUUUGGACGCAAAUGGCGCUCUUGGGUUCUCCCAGGAGCAUGUCUGUCUGAGUGUCGGAU